rnacentral:rRNA from 1 species
UACGAACUGUGCAAACGUUAUUCGGAUUCACUGGGCUUAAAGGGUGCGUAGGCGGCCAUGUAAGUAGGGUGUGAAAUCCCCCGGCUUAACCGGGAAACUGCGCCCUAAACUGUGUGGCUUGAGUGAGAUAGGGGUGUGUGGAACUUCCGGUGGAGCGGUGAAAUGUGUUGAUAUCGGAAGGAACGCCGGUGGCGAAAGCGACACACUGGGUCUCAACUGACGCUGAGGCACGAAAGCCAGGGGAGCGAACGGG